UACGCCGCAGUGGGUCCCGGAAAUGGAGAUACAUGUUUGAGAAUAGGCUGUGUUUGAGAAUCACUGCCCUCAGCGAGCUUCUAACCUUUGUGCUGACUUUGGGAGACAUAUCACUAAUUCUGCCUGGGAGAAGGCUUGGAGGAGAUGUCAUUUAGGCACAGAGCUUGAAGACCAGCAAGGAAGAGACCCGGGACCAGGACGGAGAGAAGAGAGAGAAGGCGCUGGCAGUCCAUGUAAAA